UCUUCUGUGUUAGGUGGGGGCCUGCAUUAUUGAAGACCAUGCAUGCCUUGUCAAAGGGAAAUAAGGUCAGCAUGCACGUGGAGAGGCUGGGCCGGGCGGACAGUCGAUUCGGGCUUGUCUGAGGUUCACAGCACCGUUCACGUCCUCUUGCUGAAGGGUCCCAGGCAGACCACGGGGCCCCCGACACAGUCCAACUGCUCCCCACAGACUACCUUGGGUUCAGGCUCCGUUCGUCACGUUAACUCUGCAUCCACAGGCUCUAGUCCCUUAAAACAAGCCACAUGGAAUUUGCACAGGAUCCUGGAAGAGGAGUCGGGAUUCUUGGGCAACUAUCCAGGCCUGCGGCUUCCUGGUUGGAUGGCCUUGGAUUCCUAUCCUGCUCUGGUACAGUAACCGGCACCCGACAGAUGCUCCGUAAACAUUAACUUGAACCCGUCCUUUCAACUGGAAGAGGUUGGUGUGAGAGAACAGUAAACAAGCCGGCUGUACGUGCAACAGCCUCGGCCGUGUGGCUGUCAGAGAGGAGGCGAGGUAGGUGGGGCUGUGGAAGGAGCCAGGCUGGCAGCUUGGACUUGACCUCACAGGCAUUCAGGAGGGGCCGUGGCCCCUUAAGCACAAGGACAAAGUGGGGGGUUGGAAGUCAGCCUGGCAUUGGCAUCAGGGAGUCCUCAGGUGGGGGAUCUAGUUGGGAGGCAGGUGCCGCUGGUCGUGAUCACGGUCAUUACCUAAACACCCCGCCGCUCUGGAGCACUGGCCGCAUAGCACAGAGAUCUCCUUAUCUCAUGGAAUCUUCCCGGCAACCUGAGAGAUUUAUAUGUCCCCCUUUUCCAGUAACAAAACCGAGGCUCAGAGCUAUGGGUUGCAGAGGUGCUAUGAUGUGACAACAGGCCUGGAGGGCAGGGAAUACCUAGCAGGACUCCGCAGCAAGGUUUGAAGCAGACCAGGUGGACGGUGGCUGCCUGAGGCCAUGCAGCUCAAGGGCCCAGAAAAUGAGAGUAUAGUGGGGCCUGUCCCCAAGCUUCGGGCCUCAGGGGCCCCUACCGGAGGACAGACAGGGCCAGUUGCCUCCCCCUAGCAGGAGGAGGCCAACUCCCAGAGUGCACAAUGGCUUCCACUGUUGAGUCAGGGCAUCCGAGGGGCUCCCGUGUCCAGUGAGGUUGUGAUUCAGCCAGAAAGCAAGUCACUUCCUUCCUUGCCGACUGGUAGCAAGGCCAUGGGCUGCUCUUCAGCCUGAGGUUCCCCUUGAAGACUGUGUAAGCCCACUCCUAUCCUCCUUUCCUGCAACAAAUUUCUUGCUGCAGACUUUUUAUACCAUGAUGAUGAAGGCCAGGUGUGGUGAAAAGACACCUCUGUGCUUCCGGAGAAAGUUCUCUCCCAGCUCAUUCUCUCUCUGGCAACAUGCCAGCCUUUUACUCACUGGGCCUGGGAAACCAAACAUGAUAUAAAACAAAAUAAAAUGACACAGCUUCAUUAUCUGCCGGAGAAAGAUGAUUAAGCCGGUCUACUUUGUGUCCUGAUGGGCUAUCUCUGCACUGUGUGUCCAAUGUUGCUUUCCUUCUGGAUUAGGACGACAGAAUGAACUGUCUGUGGGUUAAUUGGUUUCUUGGAAAGUUUAUUCAUUUCUUCCUCUCCCCCUCUGAAGGCAUAGAACAUUUCACAGAGUCAAAAUGCUCAGCUUCUAUUUUAUGUGUCCAGAACAUAACAUGCAUCAACCAGACAUCCUGUCACAGCCAGUGAGCAGUGAGGUGGGAUGCCUUCCAGAGCCUUGUUGCCAACACAGUCAGUGGGGCCCCCAACGGGCCAAGUGUGGACGACCGCCCCUCGGUGCGUCUGCUCCAUGGCUUCCCCUUGGCUCCUGGGAGAAGCUGGACAGAGUUAACAGUGAGCUUGUCCUCGCCUUUCCUAUCCAUAUCCCAUCCAUAUCCAUCAGUGUCUUAGGGCUUGACAAGACACCACACCCAGGAAGCCAACCUGGAUUACCUGCACAAUCAUGAUUACAGAGUCAGUGCAAACCCCCUUCUUCUGUCACCGUGCUAACCACGGGCUUCUGACGCCUGAUGAUUAAGGUCCAGGGCUAGAGAGGAACAUGCCUUUUGCUUUCUAAGAUCAGAGGUGCUUAUAUAUGUCUCGUUUCUUUUCUUGGUUUGUUUGCUUGACUAUUAAGGUUAUUCUUUUUUAUUGUUUUUGAGCCAUUUGGCAGGUGUGUUUUUCUGGCCCCCAACUGUAUUGCCAAUGCCUCUGAGGCAGAAACCACACCUAAUUAUCUGCGGUGUCCAAGACCCCAUAAUAUUCUCAGCACUCGCUGGAGUGGCAGAUGAUUCUAGGAAGCUGGGCGGUGUCGGGUGGGGUGCCAGGCCAUGGCUCCGGAGCAGGGCUGCUGGGGGCAAAUGCGGACCAGGCAGCUCAUCUCACCCCCUCGUUGCCUCCCUUUGCACAUCUGUAAAAUGGAGAUCAUAAUGCCAACCUCGUUGGGUCCUUGUGAGGAUUAAGUACCUGGUAGAGGGACUGGCACGUGGUAAACACUGACCACAUGCCUACGGGGCUCUUGAGAUCCUGUAAACACACAGCACCAUGCUCCCUUAUGCUGGGCCUCUUGCUUCCUUUCUGGAUACCCCACAUCUGGCUUGGCCAGUGAGGGACAAGGCUGGAGAGGACACACAACAGGCCAAGCAGGGUUCCCACCACGGCUUGUACCUUUUGUAUCCCUUCCCAGCACCGAGAGGGAACCUCACUCACAGACCUGGAAUAAGGCCUGGAGAGAUCUAGGACCUCUGAUUUGUUCCCAGACUCCCAGCUAAGCCUGGAAAGUCCCCACCCAAUGGCUGGUGUUUACAUUUCUAUUCUUCCCUCCCCUGGGUGCUCCUGAAACGGAUCUGUUGUUCUCCCCAAAGCCCACCCCUGCCAGGACCCCCGAAAGCUGCAUCAACUGAAAAGAAAAGAACCAUGACUCAGCAAUGGGGGCCCUGGAACCUGAUUGAAAUCCCUGACAGAUAUUUAUUGCAAAAACAUCUCUCUUUAUAUAACAAUUUAAUCAGGCCGAGGUGUGGUAAGCAGGGAGGCACCCAUUAAGCCCGGCUGUUAAUGCAGCCAAAUCGUCUCCUGCUGAUGGAUGUGGCAUAGGCAUGGCUGGUCGUUAGAAAUUAAAGCGGAACCGAAAUCCAUUUGCUGCCUGGUGGCGUGGAGCACUGUUGUUACAGCUUAACACAAGCCAUCUCUUGUGCGCUGUGAGGCCGACACACGGAAAGCCGCCUCCUGCCCCUGUGCCAGCUGUAAUUCAGAGAGAGCGUCACUUUCAUGUGCUUUCUCCACGGCCACGGACAAUUGACCUUAGAGACACUUGAUUUUCCUGGAGCCACAGGUUGGAAGAGGCAGGAAGAAGUGGAGAGAGAGGGAGCAGGUGAGGAAGACAGAGACAAGCCUCUUCUGGGGAUGAAAGAAAAGACUGUGCCUUUGAAAAAGAAGGCAAGCUCUUCCCACCCCCUGUGCUUGGAAUAACUUUCCACUCAAUACUGCACAGUGGUCUCCUCUCUUCCAUCAAAGCCACCCUAAUACUCCUCCUCUGUGUGUUUUUUAUGUCAUUGUUGUCCUAAUGGCAAGGUGAUGCCGGCAGAAGGAGAGGGACAUGGCUCGGUCGGACCUCGGGAGCUGGCAUAGUUCCAGGACUCGGUGGUGUGUGCAUCCUGGGCCGGGAACCGGCUCAUCCAGCUCGAGGGUAGCGCCUUGGUCUAUCCUGAUGGAUGCCGGUGCCUGGUAUAAAUGCAGGUGUUCUGGGACUCAGGCUUCACUGUAUCCUGAGCACAUUCCCUGCCUCGAGAAAACCCAGCGGGUGGCUUAUUUUUGUCUUUGUGUCACUAGUCACUGGCAUAAUGUCGAGCGCUUAGUUGGUGACUACCCAAGGUUUAUUUUGUGGCUGAAUGAAUGAACAAAUGAAUCAAGCAGAAUUUUCAGGGUUGGGUAUUUCCUCUAAGAUUCCUCUCUUCUAAGCAUCCCUCUUGGGUCCUCCCAAAUGCUGAGAGCCUCUAAUACACUUAAAAUACAAUUUGACUGAAUUUGCCCGUCUCUCCCCCUCAACACAAUCAGAUUUAUAUGUAACUUUAUAGAGCAGCCCUAUUUCAUAAAGGAGGGAUAGGCUUUUGCACUUAAGUUCUUGAUGGAAUCUCAACAUUUAGAAGCACAGACAGUAUGUCGCCCAUCUGUAUGUACAGGUUCUGCAGUAGAGAGAGGGAGUGCAUGAUCCCUCUAGUCCUAAGUGCAGGGGUGCUAACUGGAGGGCAGACUUUUACAGCAAUGACCCGAUGCCUGGCUUUAUCCCUGAGCUUUGGCACGAGGCCAAGAAGCCUCUAGGAGCAAAAGCGAAAACAGAAAGAGAAGGCUGUCAGCACCUCUCUCCCUGCUGGAGAAUCAAACGUCCAUCCUAAGAGUCUCUUAGGCUAGGAUCCACUCAUUAAACCAGACGCCACUCUAUCAUUUGCAAGCAAUUCAUUAGUCUAAACGGGUCUGAAUGUCAUCCCCAUCUAAGGAUUCGUCAGACAAUUAAUUAGAGCACAAAGCUAGAAGGAAAAAAAAAUCCAGUUCACGAGACCAAGUAACAUUCUCAUUCGUGAUAGUCAACUUUCCUCUAGGUUUCUGAAAUGCAGAAGGGGGGUCAAUGGUAGCAGGUGCCAAUCCAGAGAUGUAUUGGAGGAGAUUUUGCGAUGUGCUGGGUUUUGGCUUGCCCACCUGACUGCUUCUCUGCUGUGAGCUGCUCCAAAAGAUUCAUGGUGCUGAGCCUUGAGUGGUGACUUUGGCUCCCAAGGAUCUGAGAGCUGCAUGUUGGAGAAAAACAGACAUCAAGCACCACGGCACCAAGAAGAGGCUGGCCCUUGCGUACUAGACGCAGGUGGUGAGCUGGGGCAGCCUGGGGCACUUCGAGCCGGAGGAUCAGGGGACUCAGGAGGAGAUGGCUUUGAGCCACGUCUCAUACUUCUGCAGGCUGCUCCACACCACACAGGAGCCAGAGGGACAGUGGCUGGGGCUGCCAGCUCUGUGUCCAGAGUCAAACCCCCAAGAUCAUCUCUGCCUUCCUUCCUGGAAGAGCUUGCCCCACACCAAAAGACUCAGCCUUUUGGUUCUCUCUGAAAGGACAACAGCAGGAGGCCCCUGAGCGACUUACAACUGGGAGCAUGGAAUUAUUCUCAGACAAUGCGUGAUCAACUUACAUUUAUGAUAGGUUUCACACACACACACUCAUUGAACUAUUUUACUUCCUAUCAUACUUCAUACCACAUCUUAAGGUAAUGCAGGCCAAAAUAUGUUUGGUUGUGUUUUUCUCUGGGCUUUUAGAGAGUUGUGUGCCGUAGGAAUUUCUAAACUGCUGUAAUGUCAUUUAUCAAAGGCAGGUGAGGUCGGGACAUGCUGGAGAAACAUCC